rnacentral:rRNA from 1 species
AUUGAACGCUGGCGGCAGGCUUAACACAUGCAAGUCGAGCGAGCGGCGGACGGGUGAGUAAUGUCUGGGAAACUGCGUAAUGGAGGGGGAUAACUACUGGAAACGGUAGCUAAUACCGCAUACAAUCAGAUGUGCCCAGAUGGGAUUAGCUAGUAGGUGGGGUAAUGGCUCACCUAGGCGACGAUGCCUAGCUGGUCUGAGAGGCUGAAAGGCCACACUGGGACUGAGACACGGUCCAGACUCCUACGGGAGGCAGCAGUAGGGAAUAUUGCACAAUGGGCGCAAGCCUGAUGCAGCCAUGCCGCGUGUGUGAAGAAGGCCUUCGGGUUGUAAAGCACUUUCGGCAGGGAGGCGUUACUCGCAGAGGAAGCAACGGCUAACUCCGUGCCAGCCGCCGCGGUAAUAC